GCGGCCGCGGCGUCGUGUGCGGAUGGCGGAGGGCGCGUCUGCCAGGAGCCACCACCAGAUGAGGCGGGCGGGUUACAAAACUUCACAGGGGUUCCUGGGGACAGGUAGGACGUAUUGGUCCCGCUGAUUCAUUGUUCGCCUUCCUAGAAAUCUGACCUCGGGCCACAAUUGUAUAGAAGAAAAAGCAAUGCGUUCAGGAACUUUACUUCCCAAAGAUUGGAAAUAACCCAAGUGUUCAACAGGAGGAGAGGCGAGAGUAUGUGAAUUACAACUAUCUCUGUUUACCAGACACUGGGAAUGCACUUUUCAUUCAGUAUCUCAUUUUGUCCUCGAAACAGACCUAGCAGUUCUGGAGGUCAGAAGUCUGAAAUGAGUCUACUAGGUGAAGAUCAAGGUGUUGGCAUGGCUGCAUUUCUUCGGGAGGCUCUGUGGAAGAAUCUGUUUACUUGCCUUUUCCAGCUUCUCAAAGUCAUUAAUGAAUGAGAUCCUUGGAUCUGCAUUUACUGCUCCAUCUGAUCCCAUGACUGCAUCUGAAUGGCGUAUGUGUCUCUGGACCGUCAAGCACAUACCAGAUCAGUGGUUCUCUGUGCAGAAUCGGCUAGAGGGCUUGUGAAGACAGAUGCCUGGGACCCACCUCCAGAGACUGCAAUCCAGUAGGACUAGAAUGGGGCCAGGAACCUGCAUUUCUUACCCAUAUUCCCAGCUAAGGCUGAUUCUGCUGGUCUGGGGACCACACUUUGAGAAUGACUGUCUUAAGAGUGUGAGCUGUUUAAAAGAAAUGGGUUGAAACCUGCCAUUCAGGGAGUAUAACUUGAAAGGUGUCAGUCAACUUUUCCCACUAAAAACAAAUCAAACCAAAAAGGCACUGGGCCUGAGUGAGCAGAUCAAUGGUAGACUUAAAGUGUGGUCCAUAGGUGCAGAAGGUUCCUUCUAAGCAGAAUUUUAUUGGAAGGUUUGAGGGGAGGAGGGUGUUACGAGUGUGAGCAUGAGUAUUAGGUUAGGGUGAUCGUGAUAUAAGCCUUGAAUUCUUCUAAUGGUGGCCAUGGGCUUGCCCCCCACCUGGCUUUCCUGGUGGGCAAGCUUCUGGAAUGAGCCAGGUUUGCAGGCUGCUGGGUUUUCUCCAUGUGAUGCCAACUGGGCUUUGUAAUGACUUAUUUAUUCACUCUUUUAUUUAAUAAGUAUUUAUGAGCACUGACCAUGUGCAAGCAUUGUUCUAGGUGUGGAUGGGCUAGAAAGGUGUAACCUACCAUUGUUUUUUCUCAAAAAUACAGAUCACAGCUGUUUAUACAUAACUGAAUUAAUAUGAAAGGUGAAAUGAAAAGGCAAAUUCAAAAUUUCCAAAGGUCUCCUUUGCAACAGAAGAACUUACUAAAUAUGAUAAAGAAGUCUAUUUUAACUCAUAAACUUAUUAUACAACAUUAAAGUGACAAAUGAAUAAGAGACAGUUUCUUAGAUCUGUUUUCCACUUAGUUUUAGUUCUUUUUAAAAAGUAUUGAUAACUUGUAGUUAGUUUAUAGCAGUGUCCUACCUUAUAUUGUGCAAAUUCUAGUCUUGGUUGUGGAUAGUCUCCAAAAAUUUCUUGAGUCACUCUAUGGACUCUCUCUUUUUCUGUUUUGUUUUCAUGAAUGAUCCUUGAAUCCACUACAGAUGGAAGAUUUCAAGAGAAACAGCUGUUAUAUAUUUGAUAUUAUUAUAAUAUUAUAUAUUUUAUGUAUGUUAAUAUAUUUCAUCCAUAAAGUAUCUUCCUUUCAUUCCUAACCUUUCAACUUGCUUGUAUAACUUAAAAAUAAUGUUUACUGUUUCUUCUCGAUUGUAAUAAUUUCUUAUUGUUGAAAAGCUGGAAAGUAUAGGCUGGUAAGAGAAAAUAAAAAUCACCCAUAAUUCCACCACAGAGAUAAGUACUGUUAACAUUUUAAUCUAUUUGUCUAACCCUUUUUUCAGUGAAUAAAAAGAUAUGUAUUUUUUAAACUGGGAUUAUAAAAUACACACAAUUUUGUUUCCUGCUUUCUUUACUUAACAUGAAAUCAACAGCAGUUCCUGUGCCAUUGGAAAGUCAUAAAUAUGUUUAGUUCAUAAUGGCUGUACCAUUUCAUUUUAUUGCCAAAUCACUGCCAAGUGAGAGGAACAUUUUCAUUUUUAUAAAUCUAUAU